AUCCAGGGACAGUAUGUUUCCUCUCAGUCUUUCUAUUGUUCCUGCAGCAACAAUGAUCCUUCCAAAGGGGAGCAGCAGUCUAUAGGAAGACUAUGACAAGCAUCCUGAACACUUGGCAACUUAAAGUGCAGUCUUUGGGACUACUAUGUUGCGGUUGGGGCCCUCUUGAGCAAUCCCGUAAUUCAUCCUCCUGUCACUCAAACAUCGUUGCUGCCCUCUGCUGGGCUUUUGCAUCACUUUGAAUGAUCCGGAAAGAAGGUAAGAAAACCAUGUGAGACACACGUGAGUUGCGAAACACACUUUUGCUUUUGUAAAAAAAAAAAAAAAAAAUUGAAUGUACUUACAUACUGGUGUCAAAAGAGAAUGCACCAAAAAUGUUACACAGACAUACAAUUAAAAAGAAAAGGUGAUUUUAAUCUUCACGUACAAGGACUGGGGGGGAGGGGGGGGCUAUGUACAGGAGGGCUAAUUAAGAACGCAAGACACCAACUUACAAUCAUAAGGAGUUGAAAGUCUUGAAUUCAAAUUGUACCACUCAAAAAAAAACUUGGUGCUUCGCCUCCACAGAUCGCGACGAUCUUAUAAAGAGAUAGCGCUAUUCAGGUACAAAUUGCCUUUGUUUAAUAUAAUUCCUAAACAAAAAAAAUAAUAUCUUGAAAACGGUGAUAUAAUGAAUGUCUCUGGAUGGACGUCUAAGGAUGUUUGGGGGGAUAAAAAAUACUUUCUCGCUUCCAGAAAUUCAUUUAAACAUUGACGACA